CCCUGUUGCAACAUACACUACAAGUCAGAGCUAGAAUGAUUGCUUCCUUUGGAUGAUUUGUCUUAGAAUUAUAUUACCUAUAUUACAACAAUUCUUCCUAUUCCGAAACCAGUUGCUAUGCUGUUUUUACAACACUCACCCCCCCCCCAAAAAAAAAGACUCAACAAAUCCUUGAUUUGUUGUUGUUCUGAGAAUAUAUUAACUCAUUGAGUGGCAGCAUUCUGCCCAGACUUGCCACAAG
rnacentral:lncRNA from 1 species